GGUCCUCUAGCUCAGCGGCAGAGCGCCUGGCUGUUAACCAGUGGGUCGCAAGUUCGAAUCUUGCGGGGACCGCCA
rnacentral:tRNA from 3 species